AGUGAACGCUGGCGGUAGGCCUAACACAUGCAAGUCGAACGGCAGCACAGUAAGAGCUUGCUCUUACGGGUGGCGAGUGGCGUACGGGUGAGGAAUACAUCGGAAUCUACUUUUUCGUGGGGGAUAACGUAGGGAAACUUACGCUAAUACCGCAUACGACCUACGGUUGAAAUCAGUGGAUCUUCGGACCUUGCGCGUUUGUAUGAGCCGAUGUCGGAUUAGCUAGUUGGCGGGGUAAAGGCCCACCAAGGCGACGAUCCGUAGCUGGUCUGAGAGGAUGAUCAGCCAAACUGGAAGUGAGACACGGUCCAGACUCCUACGGGAGGCAGCAGUGGGGAAUAUUGGACAAUGGGCGAAAGCCUGAUACAGCAAUACCGCGUGGGUGAAGAAGGCCUUCGGGUUGUAAAGCCCUUUUGUUGGGAAAGAAAAGCAGCAGGUUAAUACCCCGCUGUUCUGACGGUACCCAAAGAAUAAGCACCGGCUAACUUCGUG
rnacentral:rRNA from 1 species